CCCUUAGAUGUCCUGGGCUGCACGCGCGCUACACUGGAGGUUACGGAUUGAGAUACUACCUUGUCCGAAAUGGUCCGGGUAAUCACCUAAAAGCUUGUCAUAAUUGGAAUGGAUUAUUGUAACUAGUAAUCCUGAACGAGGAAUUCCUAGUAAGUCCCAGUCAACAGCUGGUACUGAUUACGUCCCUGCCCUUUGUACACACCGUCCGUCGCUACUACUGAUUGGACGUUUAAGCAAGAUUUUUAAACACUGACAGUGUGUAGUUCACGCUAUACUACAGUGAGAAGAAGAAGAUCGAGCUUACUUGUCUAGAGGAAGUAAAAGUCGUAACA
rnacentral:rRNA from 1 species